rnacentral:rRNA from 1 species
AGGGUGCAGGGCGGAUGCCUUGGCACUAGGAGCCGAUGAAGGACGUGAUAAGCUGCGAUAAGCUUCGGGGAGUUGCACGUAAACUUUGAUCCGAAGAUUUCCGAAUGAGGAAACUCACUUAGAGUAAUGUCUAAGUAUCAUUAAGUGAAUACAUAGCUUAAUGAGGGGAACUCAGGGAACUGAAACAUCUAAGUACCUGAAGGAAGAGAAAGAAAUUCGAUUCCGUAAGUAGCGGCGAGCGAACGCGGAUUAGCCCAAACCAAUAAAGUUUUCUUUAUUGGGGUUGCGGACAUAUCAUAACGAAGAGGUAUCGUAAUUGAAGAGGUUUGGAAAGACCCACCACAGAAGGUAAUAGUCCUGUAUGUUAAACGAGAAGACUUCAGAUAUGAUCCAGAGUACCACGGGACACGUGAAACCCUGUGGGAAGCAGGAGGGACCACCCUCCAAGGCUAAAUACUACCUAGUGACCGAUAGCGUAUAGUACCGUGAGGGAAAGGUGAAAAGAACCCCGGGAGGGGAGUGAAAUAGAACCUGAAACCCUGCACUUACAAGCUGUGGAAGCACAUUUCUUGUGUGACCGCGUACUUUUUGUAGAACGGGCCAACGAGUUACGUUAAGUAGCAAGGUUAAGCACUUAAGGUGCGGAGCCGUAGCGAAAGCGAGUUUUAACUGAGCGUUCAGUUACUUGACGUAGACCCGAAACCGGGCGACCUACCCAUGAGCAGGAUGAAGCGAAAGUAAAAUUUCGUGGAGGUCCGAACCCACGAGCGUUGAAAAGCUCGGGGAUGACUUGUGGGUAGCGGUGAAAUUCCAAUCGAGCCCGGAGAUAGCUGGUUCUCCCCGAAAUAGCUUUAGGGCUAGCCUCAAGGUGAGAGAUACGGAGGUAGAGCACUGAAUGUCCUAGGGGGUAUUGCACCUACCGAAGACUAUCAAACUCCGAAUGCCGUCAUCUUAUACUUGGGAGUCAGACUGUGGGUGAUAAGAUUCAUAGUCGAAAGGGCAACAGCCCAGAUCGUCAGCUAAGGUCCCUAAAUGUAAGUUAAGUGGUAAAGGAUGUGGGAUUGCACAGACAACCAGGAUGUUGGCUUAGAAGCAGCCACUCAUUCAAAGAGUGCGUAAUAGCUCACUGGUCGAGUGAUCCUGCGCCGAAGAUUUCCGGGGCUAAAACUUACUACCGAAGCUACGGCAUCAGUAAUGAUGGGUAGGGGAGCUUCCCAUACGGGUUGAAGCAUGACCGUAAGGACAUGUGGACAGUAUGGGAGUGAGAAUGUUGGCAUGAGUAGCGAGAUGUGGGUGAGAAUCCCACAGGCCGUAAACCCAAGGUUUCCAGGGGAAGGUUCGUCCGCCCUGGGUUAGUCGGGACCUAAGCUGAGGCCGAAAGGCGUAGGUGAUGGACAACAGGUUGAUAUUCCUGUACUACCGAUAACCGUUUGAGAGAAGGGAUGACACAGUAGGAUAAGCUAAGCACACUGUUGGUUAUGUGUGCCCAAGCAUUGAGGCAGUCAAAGUAGGCAAAUCCGCUUUGAUAAUGCUGGGAUGUGAUGGGGAGCGAAAUUUAGUAGCGAAGUAGCUGAUUUCACACUGUCAAGAAAAGUCUCUAUCGAGGUUAAAGGUACCCGUACCGCAAACCGACACAGGUGGGUGAGGAGAGUAUCCUAAGGCCAGCGAGAGAACUGUUGUUAAGGAACUCGGCAAAAUGACCCCGUAACUUAGGGAUAAGGGGUGCCACCAUCAGGUGGCCGCAGAGAAUAGGCCCAAGCGACUGUUUACCAAAAACAUAGGUUUCUGCUAAGUCGCAAGACGAUGUAUAGGAGCUGACGCCUGCCCGGUGCUGGAAGGUUAAGGGGAUCUGUUAGAGCAAUCGAAGCAGUGAACUUAAGCCCCAGUAAACGGCGGCCGUAACUAUAACGGUCCUAAGGUAGCGAAAUUCCUUGUCGGGUAAGUUCCGACCCGCACGAAAGGCGUAACGAUUUGGGCACUGUCUCAACAACAGACUCGGUGAAAUUGUAAUUCCGGUGAAGAUGCCGGAUACCUGCGACAGGACGGAAAGACCCCAUGGAGCUUUACUGUAGCUUGACAUUGGGUCUUGGUACUACAUGUACAGGAUAGGUGGGAGGCUUUGAAACCAGGACGCCAGUUUUGGCGGAGCCAUCCUUGGGAUACCACCCUUGUAGUACUGGGACUCUAACCAUAGGCCAUGAAUCUGGUCUUGGGACACUGUCAGGUGGGCAGUUUGACUGGGGCGGUCGCCUCCCAAAAGGUAACGGAGGCGCUCAAAGGUUCUCUCAGUACGGUCGGAAAUCGUACGUAGAGUGUAAAGGCAAAAGAGAGCUUGAUUGCAAGACAUACAGGUCGAGCAAGGAUGAAAAUCGGACUUAGUGAUCCGGUGGUUCUGCGUGGAAGGGCCAUCGCUCAACGGAUAAAAGCUACCCUGGGGAUAACAGGCUUAUCUCCCCCAAGAGUCCACAUCGACGGGGAGGUUUGGCACCUCGAUGUCGGCUCAUCACAUCCUGGGGCUGUAGUAGGUCCCAAGGGUUGGGCUGUUCGCCCAUUAAAGUGGUACGCGAGCUGGGUUCAGAACGUCGUGAGACAGUUCGGUCCCUAUCCGUCGCAGGCGUAGGAAAUUUGAGAAGACCUGUCCUUAGUACGAGAGGACCGGGAUGGACGUACCUCUGGUGUACCAGUUGUUCUGCCAAGGGCAUGGCUGGGUAGCUAUGUACGGAAUGGAUAAGCGCUGAAAGCAUCUAAGCGCGAAGCCAACUUCAAGAUAAGAUUUCCCACCGCAAGGGUAAGACCCCAGAAAGACUAUCUGGUUGA